GAUGAACGCUGGCGGCGUGCCCAAUACAUGCAAGUCGAGCGAACAGACGAGGAGCUUGCUCCUCUGACGUUAGCGGCGGACGGGUGAGUAACACGUGGAUAACCUACCUAUAAGACUGGGAUAACUUCGGGAAACCGGAGCUAAUACCGGAUAAUAUAUUGAACCGCAUGGUUCAAUAGUGAAAGACGGUUUUGCUGUCACUUAUAGAUGGAUCCGCGCCGCAUUAGCUAGUUGGUAAGGUAACGGCUUACCAAGGCAACGAUGCGUAGCCGACCUGAGAGGGUGAUCGGCCACACUGGAACUGAGACACGGUCCAGACUCCUACGGGAGGCAGCAGUAGGGAAUCUUCCGCAAUGGGCGAAAGCCUGACGGAGCGACGCCGCGUGAGUGAUGAAGGUCUUCGGAUCGUAAAACUCUGUUAUUAGGGAAGAACAAAUGUGUAAGUAACUAUGCACGUCUUGACGGUACCUAAUCAGAAAGCCACGGCUAACUACGUG
rnacentral:rRNA from 1 species